GCCCCCGUUGUCUAAUGGUUAUGACGUCAGACUUCUACAUGUGUUAUGGAAUCUGGAGGUUGCGGGUUCGAGUCCCGCCGGGGGUU